CGAGGAAGGGGCGGCGGUUCCCGCCAAAGCCGGUUUACCUCAGCUAAAUCCGGGUUUGGAAACCGUUGGUACCAGUUGCACGUGUUGCUAUGGUUCUCUUGGCAUGUGCUAAUUUGCACCCACCUGGGAGAACACCUGUAGACUGCAAAGCCCAUUGAUCGGGGACUCUGUCCUUUGUUCAGCAGGCAAAUAAUGGAAUCUGAUCAUUUCAACACUCUGCCCUUUUAUGAACUUUGCAAUGUGGAAAACUACUGCAGAUUGAAGUAAGACUGGAAACAGAAUUUCCCAUUGAAGUGGCAUGUACAACAUCAUCCUAUUUUUAACUAAGUCCACAAGGCACAGUUUCCAUAGCUGUCAGCUUUUCUCAUGAAUAUCAGAAUUAAACAGGAAGUUACAAUGAAGUUUCAUGGUCUUAACAUCCAGAAGAGCAAGAAAGUUCUACCAUCUAGUC